rnacentral:rRNA from 1 species
GGAAACCUACCUCUUAGCAGGGGAUAACAUUUGGAAACAGAUGCUAAUACCGUAUAACAAUGACAACCGCAUGGUUGUUAUUUAAAAGAUGGUUCUGCUAUCACUAAGAGAUGGUCCCGCGGUGCAUUAGCUAGUUGGUAAGGUAAUGGCUUACCAAGGCGAUGAUGCAUAGCCGAGUUGAGAGACUGAUCGGCCACAAUGGGACUGAGACACGGCCCAUACUCCUACGGGAGGCAGCAGUAGGGAAUCUUCCACAAUGGGCGAAAGCCUGAUGGAGCAACGCCGCGUGUGUGAUGAAGGGUUUCGGCUCGUAAAACACUGUUGUAAGAGAAGAAUGACAUUGAGAGUAACUGUUCAAUGUGUGACGGUAUCUUACCAGAAAGGAACGGCUAAAUACGUGCCAGCAGCCGCGGUAAUACGUAUGUUCCAAGCGUUAUCCGGAUUUAUUGGGCGUAAAGCGAGCGCAGACGGUUAU